UACGGGGGGAGCAAGCGUUGUUCGGAUUUACUGGGCGUAAAGGGCGCGUAGGCGGUCAGCACAAGUCAGUUGUGAAAUCUCCGGGCUUAACUCGGAAAGGUCAACUGAUACUGUGCGACUAGAGUGCGGAAGGGCAACUGGAAUUCUCGGUGUAGCGGUGAAAUGCGUAGAUAUCGAGAGGAACACCUGCGGCGAAGGCGGGUAGCUGGGCCGACACUGACGCUGAGGCGCGAAAGCCAGGGGAGCGAACGGG
rnacentral:rRNA from 1 species